rnacentral:rRNA from 1 species
ACUCCUACGGGAGGCAGCAGUAGGGAAUCUACCGCAAUGGACGAAAGUCUGACGGAGCAACGCCGCGUGAGUGAAGAAGGUUUUCGGAUCGUAAAACUCUGUUGUUAGGGAAAAACAAGUGCGAGAGUAACUGCUCGCACCUUGACGGUACCUGACCAGAAAGCCACGGCUAACUACGUGCCAGCAGCCGCGGUAAU